CACGAGUCAUGUCAAGAGCGCCCGCUUGUGGAUGCUAACAGAACGGGGCUCACUCUCCG
rnacentral:RNase_MRP_RNA from 14 species